GACGGACGCUGGCGGCGUGCUUAACACAUGCAAGUCGAACGGAAAGGCCCUGCUUUUGUGGGGUGCUCGAGUGGCGAACGGGUGAGUAACACGUGAGUAACCUGCCCUUGACUUUGGGAUAACUUCAGGAAACUGGGGCUAAUACCGGAUAGGAGCUCCUGCUGCAUGGUGGGGGUUGGAAAGUUUCGGCGGUUGGGGAUGGACUCGCGGCUUAUCAGCUUGUUGGUGGGGUAGUGGCUUACCAAGGCUUUGACGGGUAGCCGGCCUGAGAGGGUGACCGGCCACAUUGGGACUGAGAUACGGCCCAGACUCCUACGGGAGGCAGCAGUGGGGAAUAUUGCACAAUGGGCGGAAGCCUGAUGCAGCAACGCCGCGUGCGGGAUGACGGCCCUCGGGUUGUAAACCGCUUUCGCCUGUGACGAAGCGUGAGUGACGGUAAUGGGUAAAGAUGCACCGGCUAACUACGUG
rnacentral:rRNA from 1 species